rnacentral:ncRNA from 2 species
UAAGGGGUAGGCUUAGUUGCGUUACGGGCCAAGGGAACGGAAUGUGGACCUUGGCAGAAAGGCAACGCCGACGUUUCUAGGCCGCAUUCACCAUU